rnacentral:rRNA from 1 species
CAGUCGCCACGGGAAUACGUAGGUGGCAAGCGUUGUCCGGAAUUAUUGGGCGUAAAGGGCUCGCAGGCGGUUUCUUAAGUCUGAUGUGAAAGCCCCCGGCUCAACCGGGGAGGGUCAUUGGAAACUGGGAAACUUGAGUGCAGAAGAGGAGGGUGGAAUUCCACGUGUAGCGGUGAAAUGCGUAGAGAUGUGGAGGAACACCAGUGGCGAAGGCGACUCUCUGGUCUGUAACUGACGCUGAGGAGCGAAAGCGUGGGGAGCGAACAGGAUUAGAUACCCCGGUAGUCCCUGUCUCUUAUAC